CCUACGGGAGGCUGCAGUGGGGAAUAUUGGGCAAUGGCGGAAACUCUUACCCAGCAAUGCCGCGUGAGCGAAGAAGGUCUUCGGAUUGUAAAGCUCUUUGAUUGGGGACGAAGUAAGUGACGGUACCCAAGGAACAAGCCCCGGCUAACUAUGUGCCAGCAGCCGCGGUAAUACGUAGGUGGUGAGCGUUGUCCGGAAUUACUGGGUGUAAAGGGCGUGUAGGCGGGGAUGCAAGUCAGAUGUGAAAUUCCGGGGCUCAACCCCGGCGCUGCAUCUGAAACUGUGUCUCUUGAGUGCUGGAGAGGAAAGCGGAAUUCCUAGUGUAGCGGUGAAAUGCGUAGAUAUUAGGAGGAACACCAGUGGCGAAGGCGGCUUUCUGGACAGUAACUGACGCUGAGGCGCGAAAGCGUGGGUAGCGAACAGGAUUAGAUACCCUUGUAGUC
rnacentral:rRNA from 1 species